rnacentral:rRNA from 1 species
GGCGGCGCGCCUAACACAUGCAAGUCGAACGAGAAAGCAGGAGCAAUCUUGUGAGUAAAGUGGCGUACGGGUGAGUAACACGUGGAUCAUCUACCCUCUUGUGGGGGAUAACUCUGGGAAACCGGAGCUAAUACCGCAUAAGUCCGAGAGGAGAAAGCAGCAAUGCGCAGGAGGAGGAGUCCGCGGCCGAUUAGCUAGUUGGUAGGGUAAAAGCCUACCAAGGCUACGAUCGGUAGCCGGCCUGAGAGGGCACACGGCCACACUGGCACUGAAACACGGGCCAGACUCCUACGGGAGGCAGCAGUGGGGAAUCUUGCACAAUGGGGGCAACCCUNAUGCAGCGACGCCNCGUGAGCNAUAAAGCCCUCCGGGGUGUAAAGCUCUUCCGGCAGG